rnacentral:tRNA from 1 species
GCCGCUGUGGGACAAGCUGGUACUCCGCAGGACUGGAAAUCCUGUUUCUCGCAAGAGAUUUCCCGGUUCAAAUCCGGGCGGCGGCG